CCGGAUGCUUAUAUAGCCUUCUUCAUACAGCACGGAGUAAAUAACAAAGUUCCUUUGAGCUCGGAGGGAGGUGGUGAGAAGGCAAGGGGCAGAACUUCACAGUGAACAAAGGUAGUCUUAUUAUCCAGUUAAAGCUUCCCAGUUAAUCUCCUGGAGCUGCCCUCAGAAGAAUAGAUGGAAAGUCUGUUUAGGCAUGGUGAUGACUCCCAGUAUCUCCUCUUCUCUAGUGGUUAAUCUUUUCUGGUUAUUUCAUGUGAUUCUUAGGAGGGAUAUUUUAAGACAAUUGCAAUUCUCCUUGUAAGAAGCUUUCUUAGUCAGAGAAGAAAAUUCCACAGAGUCCCUUCUUUCUUCAUGAAGAAAAAGGAUCAGAGAGACAGGGAGGAAGGGGAAGGAUAGAAAAAGAUUAUAAAGUAUCACCAAAGUUCUGAAAUGGAAGUCUUAAUGGAAAGGACUGCUUCUUUACCCAGGAAGAGGCCGCUGCCUUGUUUUGAGCUGCCCUAUGGAGAGUCUCAGUGGCGAGGAAUUGAGGACAGACUUCUGUACGGACCUGAGGUCAUCAUUCCAACAACACAUGAAGAGCUGAAUCCUGACAACAACUUCAUUGGUAAGCUUGGAAGUGGAUUUUCCCCCAAACAGGCCUUGAGGUGACCACAGCCCUGGCUGACUGCAGCCUUGUGAAAUACCCUGAGACAGAAGACCCAGCUCAGCCACACCUGAACUCCUGACCCACAGAACCUGCUAUAAUAAAUGUUGUUUUGGCUAUUACGUUUUGGAGUGAUUUAUUAUUAGAUAACUAAUACGUAUGCAUUUGGGAAAGUAAAGGCCUAAGAGUAUAUGGAAGUGGAAUUGUUUGGCCAUAAUCUAUGCAUACGUUCAGCUUUAAUAUAUACCACUAAAUUGUUUUCAAAAGCAGUCAUUGUCAUGUACACUCCCAACAGCAGUGUGUGAGAGUUUUUAUUGAGUUCUACUGAAUGAUCUUUGUUAUUAAGCUUUUAGUAUAUGCCAGCCACUAAGUGCCUUACAUGUGCUGUUUCAUUUAAUCUUCACAACAGUUCAGUGAGGUGGGUAUUACUGUUUUCUCCAUUUUCAGAUUAAGUGAACCUGCCCCUGUCAUUUACUAAAAAGAGGCAAGCCAGGAUUUUAACCCAUGUCCAAUGCUCUUAGCCAUUAAGCCUCUCCUGAGACAGAUUUCAAUGCAAUUAUAGCCACAGAGAAAACACAUGUGAAAAAUAACCAUCAUAGCGCACUAAAGGAAGAGCAGCAUUUCAUCUUGUGCAUAAGUUAACCAUCAGCACUGCACAGGGCUGAUGAGGAGAAGAGGCUUCCAGACGGAGUUAGCAAAGGAAGAAAGAUAGGCAAUUUGGAAGGAGGGAAAGGAUGGCCCAGGAAGGCUGGGAGGUAAAGAAUAUGCAAGCAAGGUCAAGAGCUCUAUGCAUUUGGCUCACUCUGCCCUCUGCAUUUCCAGCCUCAUGCAGCGAUGUCAUCCUUAGCAGUGAGUUGUCUACUUUUUCCGUAGCUCUCCCCAGAAUAACACAGACCCCAGGGUCUUAAAUGAAGGAGUGAUUUUUCCAGAUAUUUCACCUUUCCCAAGGGAGAACACUACUCAGUUGUCUCUCCUUGGAACUCCUUCUUUUGCUGUUUAUUGUUUCUGAGUGUGAUUUUUUCCUUUCUUCCUCAUUCCGCUGGUGCUUGUCACCACUCUGAUGGGAAUUCCUCUUAAAAUGCCGGCAGUCUCUUUGAUAAGCCUCGCCUUGCAGACCUAAGGUAAACUCCUGGAAGGAUGCCCUGAACCUCUGGCUGUCUACCCACCUUCCACAACCCACAAAUGGAGUGUUUCUGUGUACA
rnacentral:lncRNA from 10 species